rnacentral:rRNA from 1 species
UACGAAGGGGGCUAGCGUUGCUCGGAAUCACUGGGCGUAAAGCGCACGUAGGCGGCUUCUUAAGUCAGGGGUGAAAUCCUGGAGCUCAACUCCAGAACUGCCUCUGAUACUGAGGAGCUCGAGUCCGGGAGAGGUGAGUGGAACUCCGAGUGUAGAGGUGAAAUUCGUAGAUAUUCGGUAGAACACCAGUGGCGAAGGCGGCUCACUGGCCCGGUACUGACGCUGAGGUGCGAAAGCGUGGGGAGCAAACAGG